CAAGAAGAGGCUGCCCAGGAGACAAGGAUGCGCAGCUGCCACUCUUCCCACCAUUGCACAGCACUCGAGAGAUCCACGGCCAUCUCUCCUGUCUCUUUCACUCGAUCGAUGGAGGGAGGGAAAUAAUGCGCUAUUACCUGUAGCAGCCUCUCGAUUUGAGCAGACAAUAUGCAGCAGGGCUCUCAGACUCAAGAGUGCUGACAAACUAAAUGUAGCUAGAUCGCAUCAUAUGGCUAGGAUCAGAGGGAAAAGCUAACGUGUUCGUUGCUUAUCCCUAGCGCUAUUCCUUGCUUGUGUGUUGUUUGUGAUCAUGCAUUCUGUUAGCAAUAAGAACAAUAA
rnacentral:lncRNA from 1 species